AUUAUUGAGCCAAGUCUGAUCUAUUCAACUAGCGUAGACUAAUGUAAUACACCCGGUGAUUAAGAGGAUCUGAAUAACGUUAUCGGUAAAAAUGAAAAAAAAUAAUAAAAAAUGACGAAACAAACCGCCAUGCGAGGUGUUUCUUGAUUUCCCACGCUCGAAUCUGCCCUGCUGUACAAGAAGCAAAGGGCUCUAGUGAAAAUGCAACUCCCACUUAUGCUGAACGUAACUUGACACCGCGGUACACAAUGAACGAGCAGCAGGUGCCCCGAGAAUUUUUCUUCGUCGUUCGUCGUCAUAGUCAGUGACGUUUGAGAAAAGAUCCUCGAUAUAAAUAAUACUCCGAGUAUUAAUUCAGAGGAAUGAUGUGAAAAACCGCUUUCGAAGUUUACCAAAACACUCCUGGCCGAUGGUUCGGGUUCCUCUUUAUUAGUCGAGCGAAUAUUUGCGUAGAGGUAUAAUAAAGACCCGGCUGACCCACGUUCAGCAACGAUACAGCGCGACUUGUGGGUGUUACGUGAAUGUGAGUGAUGUUUACGUGUAACAAGUUAACACACAAACGCGUCGGGCAUCAAAAGCUAUCUCUUAGCUCUAUUCAUCGCAGUGCUGCGCAGACCUCUGUGACUCGACCUCAGAGCAAAUAAUAAUGAUACACUUUGUGAAGCGAUCGCCCAGUUUGGAUCAAACGAACAUUCGUCGAUCGUGCUUGAGCAGCAGUUAAACGUCAACGUUGUUGGAAUUGGGAGAUCGAAUCGUCGUUAAUCAAAUUCAUCAAGUGAAAUCGGAAUCGUACACUCUUGAAACGCAACGCCGAGAUGAAGACACCGUGGAUUGUUUUCACGAUCUGCGUCGUUUUAAUCUGCACCGUCAGAGAUACUCGGGGUCAGAUGUUUGGCGGAAACUGGAUGGAAGAUCUCUUCGCUGGGCUGAAUCGCAUCGCCAAGGAUUUAGAGGUACCGAGGGCGCGGCAGGACCUCGCAAAAACGGAAAGGCAACACAUCGGAACCAUCGGUAGGAAGGGCAGCGAGGGUUCAACCGACAUCGAGGACAUCCUUCACCGCGCGGAAAAGGUUCGCCACCCUUUUCGCCGAACGGUGAACGAGUUUCGGUACAUCCGCAACCCGGCAGACUCUAUUUUAAAACCUAUCUCGCGGCUGCAACGGAAUUGAAAGACGAGGCACCGUUUGGACGGCCAUUCGGCCGCACGGUAACAAGUGCGGAAACUUACGAUCGUGAGAAUCGGAUACGAACUGAAAAAAGGCUGCCUAUCCGCAUUCUUUGUUUCAAAAAUUCUUAAAUUUUUGUUCGUGGAUUAAUGCAAUAAUUGGGCGAGUGGAGUCUGUGAUUUCAAUUUUCUUCACAAAGGGGAUAGACAUUUUAGUCUGAUAAUACGCUAAAAAUAAUAGGCUAGAAAUACAUGGUUGUUUAAAAUUCUGUAAUUUGAAUACGAUAAUAAAGUAGUAUGUGUAA